rnacentral:rRNA from 1 species
CCUACGGGUGGCUGCAGUGGGGAAUAUUGCACAAUGGGCGCAAGCCUGAUGCAGCGACGCCGCGUGAGCGAUGAAGGUCUUCGGAUCGUAAACUUCUAUCAGCAGGGAAGAAGGAAGUGACAGUACCUGAAUAAGAAGCCCCGGCUAACUACGUGCCAGCAGCCGCGGUAAUACGUAGGGGGCAAGCGUUAUCCGGAAUCACUGGGUGUAAAGGGUGCGUAGGCGGUAGGGCAAGUCAGAUGUGAAAGCCCGGAGCUCAACUUCGGGACUGCAUUUGGAACUGUCUUACUAGAGUGCAGGAGAGGAAAGCGGAAUUCCUAGUGUAGCGGUGAAAUGCGUAGAUAUUAGGAAGAACACCAGUGGCGAAGGCGGCUUUCUGGACUGUAACUGACGCUGAGGCACGAAAGCGUGGGGAGCGAACAGGAUUAGAUACCCCGGUAGUC